GGGAGAUGUGCUGCUGGCAGAGCCUUUGUGCCAUUUCUUCUUGAGACAGUGUUGCUGGUGGUCAUAGGGUGAGAGCAGGGGUCAUAGUGUGAGAGCGGUGUGUGUGAGAGUGGUACGUGAGAGUGGUGCUUUUGAGAUCAGAAGUGAAAGUGGUGUAUGUGAGAGCAGUGGUCGUAGUGUGAAUAGCGGUUGUCGUAGUAUGAGAUCGGUGGUGAUAGCUUGGGUGCUGAUGUAUGAAACCGUGAAACAGCAGUUGCUCCUGAGUGGAGGGCUGCCCCCAUUAGUGAGGAUGGGUCACAGCAAAGCCUGCCUGUGAGCUCUUUUUCAGUGCUGCAACCCCAAGGCAAAGGCCAAGACGAGGAAGAACUUGGCCUUGGCCCAAGUCCUGGAAGCAGAGUGGCCUGAGGGAUCGCCACUGGACUCCGUGUUGUUGUCGUCUUUAAACUCUGUCUGAUUUUCAAGUCACUUUUCUCAUCUUCCCACUGAGCAGACCAGGGUGGAUCAGUUCGGGGUUCUCAUACCUUGCUUCAAAUUUAUGCAGAUGAUUCCUAAAGAGAAUAGCCAGGAAAAGAUACUAAUGGAUGGGGUGUUUGAUGUAAAUCAUGAGCAAGAAAACAUGCCAAGCGCCAAUGGAAAGACAAGUCCUUGGUCUCACUCUCUGUCUGGUUCUCAUCUUACCAUCCAGUCUGUGUGGGGCUGUUGGGACCUCUCACCAGUGCACCAUAGACCCUCCGACGGCUCUCUAAGCCAUGAGGAAGACCUGGCUAAGGUGAUCAAGCUCCAGGAAUUCGUAGACAAGCUGUCACAGGAGCAGAACCAGAUGAAGGAGUGCCUGGCAGCCCUCUCUGUCCAAGUGACAGGGCUGGAGGAGGACCUGAACACGGCCAGGAAGGACCUCCUCAAGUCUGAGGAUGUGAACAUGAAACUGCAGCGGGAUGUCCAUGAAAUGUAGGCCAUGGCCCAGUAGGAGGACAUGGAAAAGAGCAUCACUACCCAUUAGGAAUGUUACCUCACUGCACAGCACAAAGCCACCUCUGUGCAAGACCUUAAUGAUAAACUUGAAAAUGAAAUUGCAAAUAAGGAUUCUAUGCAUCAAAAGGUAAUGGGUUUUACUGAACUGUGUCUGAUUUUUAUAGUAAUGAAUUACUCAGGAAGGAAUGUAAAGACCUUUUCCUGUGACUACCACGUUGGAAAUCAAGUCCUAGUGUAAUGUUCUUAUGACCCUAAAAUAUUGCAUUAAUAAGUGUGGAUGUACAUCAUGGCAAAUCAGCUGUACUGGAAGGAAAUAUAUUUUUUAAAAAAAUUGGGGGUGACUGCAACUUACAAGUUUGAAUUAUCUGGGACUUGGUUUAACUAUUUUGUGGAAUUCUACUCCUGACUCUUUUGUUUUACUUGACUUGAAUCUGUAGGCUUGUUAGCAUUUUUCCUGAAAGAGCAGAGAGCAGCAGGGAACUUCAUGGCAGCUGGCUGCCUGCUGGAAACUGGGGUCACUAUGACAAAAGGCAAGGUUAGAGCUCUGGUCUGAUUAGGGUUUAUCCUUCCUGCGGUUUGGUGAAACUUACUUGCUCCUGUUCCCAUGUGGUCUCAGAUAAUCAGGACUUAACCAGGAAAACCAAAUCUGGGUUCUCCAAAACAAAGUGAGUCAGUCUGGUGUGUGCCAAAGUGUAUCAUUGUCCCCACCACAAAAAUAAAAUACUAGAAAGCCAUUGAAAAGUAUGUUGUGGGAUGCUAAUUAAGAGCAUAUACAAAAUAAUGGCUGUAAAAGGCAGAUCAGAAAAUACUACAUACCAUAUGUUAUUGUUUUCUGAGGAUUUUAAAUCAUAUUGUAUUGUUUGUGUAUGUAUGUACAUAGAGUCACACACACAGAGAAAAAAUAAAGCUGCUUAGAAGAAAAUGAUAACCUCUCAGGAACCUGAACUUAUAGAUAAGUCAUUUUUCCUUCUUUUCUAAAAAAGUAUUUGUCUAAAUGUUCUACAUUGAAAGUUUUUCAGAGUAAGAAGAUCUAUUAAAAGAAUAAUCAUGCAUUUACAAAUAUUAGUUGACUGGCAUUUCACCAGGCACGCUCUAAUCAGGUCUGUAUUUCAGAGGAAAUGAAAGCUAUAUUUUGGCUUACAGGCCCAUGGCCAUCUGCGGUCGGUGGG
ensembl:lincRNA